GUGCGGAGCGCGCGCGCGCGCGGCUCGGAGGCGCACCUGUGAGGUGUCCCUGAGGAGAGGGAGGUGGGUGCGCGGCGCCCGCGGCCUGGGGCGCUGACUCCCCUCACUUGGAGGCGCCCUGCGUCCGGCAGAGGAGGCGAGCAUCCCGCUCAGGUGAUGAGGAACCCCUCGCGCACCCAGCGCAGAAGGCUGCUGCCGCCGGACGCCUCCAUUGUUUGACCACAACAAGGGCCGGAUUCUCACCCAGGCCGCACUUGGUGAGAGUCUUCACGGACCACAGUGUUGCACGAGGUGAUUGUGUUUGCAGAGGUUUUUUUGUCCUUGAAGAGCACUUAGGGCUGGAGAGCAAGACACAUGCUGACGAGCAGAAGCUGACAGGCUUGCUGCCAUGUGGGAAAGUCCUUGGACGAGUUGUCUGCUUGCGGAGAGGUGUCUGCGGCUCAGCCCCCCUCCCAACUCCCAAAUCCCCCGGCGUCGGAGAUGAGGCCCCGGAUGCUGCCAGUGUUCUUUGGGGAGAGCAUCAAGGUGAACCCGGAACCCACGCAUGAGAUCCGGUG
rnacentral:lncRNA from 1 species